rnacentral:rRNA from 1 species
AAGCGCUUGCGACCAGACUUGCCCGUAGACGCUCAGCGGAGGUUUUCCCCCGUGCACUCGUCUGCGAUCAGGCCAGCAUCAGUUCUGGCGGUCGGAUAAAGGCUUUGGGAACGUAGCCCCUCGGAGUGUUAUAGCCCAGGGUGUCAUGCGGCCAGCCGGGAUUGAGGACCGCGCUUUUGCAAGGAUGCUGGCGUAAUGGUUGCAAGCGG